GGCUGGUCCAAGUGCAGUGGUGUUUACAACUAAUUGAUCACAACUAGUUACAACGUAUUUCUUUGUUCCUUCUCCACUCCCACCACUUAACUUGACUUGCCCUUA
rnacentral:Y_RNA from 1 species